GACAGAGGGUGCAAACGUUGCUCGGAAUCACUGGGCGUAAAGGGCGUGUAGGCGGGUAGGCAAGUCGGGCGUGAAAUCCCUGAGCUCAACUCAGGAACUGCACUCGAAACUGCUUAUCUUGAGUGCCGGAGAGGAAAGCGGAAUACCUGGUGUAGAGGUGAAAUUCGUAGAUAUCAGGUGGAACACCAGUGGCGAAGGGCGGCUUUCUGGACGGUAACUGACGCUGAGCACGCGAAAGCGUGGGAGCG
rnacentral:rRNA from 1 species